ensembl:lncRNA
AAAGCAAUCUGCUUGUUUCCUUUACAUUUGUUAAGUUGGCACUGAAUAAUUAUAACUUUGUAUAAUAAAUAUCGCCACCUUUAUGUAGGUGUGUCUUACGUAACAGAUACUUAAGCAGCAGUUACAGCAGUGACGUGCUUUUACAUUUCCUAUAAAUAGUAUGGCUCAUUUGAUUUUUUUGUUCUGCCAUCAUCUGAGUGCACAAGUUGCCCAACCUGAACGAAGAUCAAGUGGUCAACCAGAUACAAAAGCAAACACUGGAGUUUCUGCAUUCUUUGGUCCAAAUUUGGCUCCCAAGUUGCCUGUCUAUUUUUUUAAGGUAAGGCUCAUAGUAAAGAGAGAUGUCAAUACCAUGAUUUUACACAUUCUACUGUACACUAAGGGCGUGUUCACACUUGGGCAGAAUACUUGAGUCUGCACCUAGGACCAGUUUUGGGUCGGUUCAGGGAAGGACUCAAAAUCCCAAAUUUGUUCCCAUUUUUAAGGAUUACUUCCAAACUAUGGCUCGAUUACACAAUUCCGCAUAACAUCUGAGGAAGCAAGUUUACAUAAUGAUAAGCAAUAAUGUCAGUUUCUUCUUCUUUAAAUUGUUCAUUCAUUUCUUGUUUUGAAGGUCACUUCAAAGUAAGAACGCUAUCUAAUUUGCCAUUCCAUUUUAAUAGUGUCUUCUGUUGAGCAUCACACGUUUCUCAGUGAAAUUCACACUUUACCCUGACACUUAAAAAUGAACAUUAAAAGAACUGAUUGGCCUUUUUGUGACUACUAUUGGAGCUACAGGGAUCCUGUGUUCUAAAACUGACGAUAGAUUUCUAUAAUCUCCUCAUCUUCUAUCAUUUCUUUAUCUCCUACGGAACUCCUAUGGAACCCAAUUAUCUCGGUUCCAUCAGUAGCUUUCUAGACAUAUUAACUCCCACACUGUCCACGCCUGAUCUGUUGCUCAGUCUGGCACUAACCUCUCAGUCAAUUGCCGAAUUUAUAAUGCCCCUAUAUUGGCAAAUACUGUGCUCUGUAGAUGGCUGAGUUUGCAAAAUUAGCUGAACUGAACAUUCAUACAGAGCUGGAGUUGGGUUUCAUUCAACGUCUGUGUAUCCGUGUUAUUGGGGCCUCCUCUGACACCACGGCUGUUAUUACAAAGCUUUGAGUAGACGCCCUGUGUCUAAGCGUGUUGCUGCUUGAAGAUUAAUUAUUAACAACAGUCUGGAGUUGAGCCAAGUUUUCUCAGCUACUCCCUCAUUCUUUUGGCUGAGCAAGAGACAGAUAAUUAAUUACAUAUUCACAUUCUAUUAAGCUAUCACUAAAACAGAAAGGGGUUAGCUUUCACAUCACCUGCCAUCUGACUACUAGGGUAGGCAAAAAUUAUUGUAAAACCAGGAACCAAAUGAACUGUUGUUAUCAGCCCUGGCCACAGGGAAUAACAGUGUGCCACAGUGUAAAUAUGAUAUUGAGAACAUUUAAGGAGGUUUGUAGAACCUCUACUGCAAAAUACUUGAACUCUGUGGUAUGCACCUUAGCUAACCUAAUGGAUUGUGAACAGGUCUGGCUGAGUACUUGCCUACUGUUGACACUUGGAUCACAUCACUCUUGGUUUCACUGUAUAAAGCACUAAUUCCUAUUUCCUAGGUCAGCCCACUACUUUGUGGGAUGACCUCCAAAAGAUGCUCCCACAUCAUGAAAGAGCACGGUGGAGCCCAUCUAAGAAAGACAGGGGCUGCUGGCAGGACACUUUACUCAUUGGAUCAUUGGGCAAUUACUACUUCAGACCAGUGGGUCCUCUUGACAAGUUUGUGGGAGUGUAAACUGUUGGCUCCAGCCUUCAAGGCUGAGUGUUUGGCCAAUUUCCAGUCCAAUCAAUUUGCCACUCUGCUCCAAUAAGUUACUUUUCUCUUGGGGAGAGUCACAAUCAAAAAAGUAGACCCUACUCUCAGAACAAAGGGUAUGUUCUAUAGCUCCACAUACUUUCAAGUUUAGAAGAGAGGCUUUAUGUAUGGUAAUUGUAUCAGAUAUUAUUUGUGUUGUGUAGCCACAAGACUAGGUCACAUCUGUACGAUACAUAUUUUCAUGUCCCUGUUCCUCUGCAUAUGCGUUUGGAGGUAUGCAUUUCAGAGACAGGUAUUCCAUAUCCUACCCUUUGUCCUCACUCUAGCAUCACACGUCUUCUGGAGAUUGUAGGUCACACACAUGGUGCUCAGUCUCAUAGUGAACUGGAAAAGAUCCCUAGUACUCCACACAUAAUCUGAAGCACCCCGCACAUAAUCUUAACGUAAUCUACUAGAGACAAUAAUUUCAGAAUAAGUCAGAAUAUAAUCAAGUCUAAUAAUUUUUUUUUGUGAAGGUAGGAACAUAUCCAAAUCUAACAAUACUAACAAUAAUAAGAAGAAAGAAUGACAGUCAUCAUUACUCAACAUUACCACUCAAAUUCAAACAUAAUAAUACAACAUAAGAAAAUCAAACUUGCAUACCUGAUAGAGAAAAACUACACACAGCAACUGUGUGGGAGAUCUGCCUACAGAUUCCCCAAAUCUUUGGCCAGCUCUCCCCUAAAUACCCAGAUACUCUGUAGGUCCACCAAAUGGUGUUGUUUGUGGUUAGAAUUGGAAUUUAGGCCAGUCUGUGGAAGGAUGUAUCUUAUUUACAUACAGGAGGUAAUUUAGGUGAAGGACCUGGGGAAGGUAUGCCUUUAACGUCAUGCAAUAUUUUUCUCUAGAUCUUAUGUAGUGAUUUAAACUGCUGAAUGAGACCAUAUUUUCCAGAUGCACUGAGACCUUUUGAAUGAUGCUAAACAUGUAUAGUUAAUUACAUGACAACAUUAAACAUAUUAUGUAAUGCAUACAGACCUUGUGUGAGUUUAAGGUGAUCUCAAUACAGAGAGAGAGAAGGGUGUGGAAAGAGAGGAAUAAGGAAACAAUGUAGUGAUGUGCGAUCUUCUCGUCUCCACUCAGUGUGAUGUGUUUUCUCAGGUGAAGCUGCUAAUUCUGAGGGCGAGAGUUCAAGUGUUAAUUCCUGUAAGAGUCCUUUUUCCUCAGAGAGCAGUUCUCUCCAGGUUCAGAUAUCUUGGCACCAGCCUUACACACAGCAGACCUGCACUAAUAGCAGAUGGAAAUGUCCAGGUGGCACCAGCAAGCAGCUUUUGAUUCUGUGCUGCUGAGUGCACAAGUUGCCCAACCUGACCUAAGAUCAAGUGAUCAAGUGAUCAACCAGCAACAACAACAACAACAACAACAACAACAACAACAACAACAACAACAACAAACACAGGUGACUGCUGACACAAGGCUUCCAGCCAGAGGUUUAAUCAAAAAUGACAUCAAACGCUGAAACAAACCUCUGUUUUGUCUCCUGGAACACAAAUGGUAUUAAAAAAAGAUUGUAAAAAUAUUGGACGUUCUCUGUAACCUUCAAGCUGAUAUUGUUUUUCUACAAGAAACACAUGUUGGGCCAACAACAAAAUGUCUCCAAGCCAUUAAUAUUGUUAAAAACUGGGACGUCUACAAUACUGAAUACAGUUCUCAAAGCAAAGGAGUUGCAAUACUGAUAAAAAAAACAUACCAUUUGAGUACAUAUGCCAUGAUGAGGAUUGUAGUGGAGGUUACAUUGUGCUCUUCUGUCAUCUGUAUGGUGAACUGUACACUCUUGUUAACGUGUACAAGCAUAAGAAAGACAAAGUUGUCUUGAAUAGGCUGAAGGACUAUUUGAUGGCGAGAGCUGAGGGUGUGCUAGUGGUUGGAGGUGAUUUCAAUUCACUUUUAGAUCCCAGAGUAGAUCGCAAUCCUCCAAGGUCAAGAGAAUCACCAUCAAAAGUUUUAGAAGACUUUAUUGCAUCACUGAACCUCAGAGACACCUGGUCAAACAUACAUACUGAUAAUGAUACAGAGAGAUUUACAUUCAAAUAUCCUCGUGGUUUUUCCAGAAUAGACAUGUUUUUCCUGCAAAAUGCCACAAUAAAUCAAGUACUUAGCAUUACAGUUGAAAAAGGUUUUGAGGGACAAAAAAUGGAUCAUUUCCCUCUCGUCUUAAAACUCCCCACAAGGUUAAGGACAUAUGAAUACAAUCCUGACAGGUGCCAAGGAAAGAUUAGUCUUAAAGAAAUACUGAGUGCUAUAAAGUAUUUAACUGACAAAGAAGAACCCAGACCAAAUAUGAAUGAUGAGAAGGUCUACAAAAAAAAAUGCUGUACAAUGAAGAUUGACUACAAUAAAAUAUUAAAUACACUGAAGGUACCUAAAAAUUAUAAACCUUCAGGAGACAACAACAUGGAAUAUUUGAUAUUUUCAGAAAUUUUGGCCAAGCGCCUCUUGCCAUUCAGUUCAUGUGAAACUGAUAACUGUGCCACUGUGAACAUUGAGAGCCCACAGGAAAUCAAGUGGUCUUACCUGAAGACAAUAUUUGAUAAGAUAGAUUAUUGUUAUUAUAAAGAGAAAGACCCAAAACAGGCCCCGUUUGCCCCCCCACCAGACCUCCGCAUUCUGGAUCGUCUUCUUCCUAAAGUCCAAAACUCUACUGAGGAUCUCAGAGUUUUACAGCCUAACUGUCCACUAGCCAAUGCUAUCCUCAAUCUGGCAAAUAAACAGCUGGUUGAUAUGCUUCAGUUGUUCCAGAAUGAUUCAGGACUGAAGUUAAAUACUGUACUUCAUGUACUCAAACAAACACACACACACAAAUAAGUCACUUUGAGCCUAAAUAAUUGAAGAACUUUUAAAGGGCCUUUAACAGCAAUUAGAACAUUAAGCACAGGACAGGUUGAGAAGUUUUAUUCCCCCUCUACAGCAGCUACAUCACAAAUUGUGCUACAACCUCUCUAUAAACAUCAGAGGUACACAUCUAUUUUAUGUCCAGAUGAAAAAAAAACAAAAAACAAUACUUAUGCUGGCUUUUAUCUCUUAUGCAUUACUUUAUUAUAUUUAAUUAUGAUUGCUAUUAUGAUUUUGUUGAUAGUAGCACAGUGGGUAAUCACUGUCCAUCACUAGUCCGAAUUAAAAUAGAUUCAGAAAAUAUCAGGGAUUUCAGGCACUAUCUACAGUUACUUUGAUUUGCUUAGAUUGGUUUAGCUUUGCUUCACGAGCUGGGAAUAUUGUAUUAAUUUCUAAGUUGUUAGGGUGUAUUUGUACACGUAAAAUGAAACUUUUAUUUAAAAUGUUUAAAAUUUGUAUAGGAUAUAAGAUUUGUAAUUAAUUUUGUUGUUGAGUUUUGUAAAUUAUUACAGCAAUGGUGCAGUGCUUUGUGCAAUCACAUUAUAUAUACAUUAACAGUGUCUUUCUUUUUUUUGCCUUCUUUUUUUUUUGCCUUUGUCAAGAAUAAUGCUACAUUCAUGUUUACUGUGUUUAUGAGAUACUUAUAUUUGAAAAAAAAGGCAUCCUUAAUAUGUAAUAUUUCUUUCUUGGAGAUGUUUGGCUAUCCUAAUAGACAUUAUGGAAGUUUGUACAGAUGUGCAUCAUGUUUGCUUGGUUGUGUAUUAAUCUGUUACUUCCAUCCCAGCUUUAAUUGAAGACUUUCUGCUGCAAGGCAUUCACCACUAAGUAUUAUUUUAGAAGCUUUUACGGCAUCUCUGAAUCUUAGAGACACCAUGCCUUCACUUUACUGAUGAGGGCUUUACACAGUUUCACAACAAGUCAUUCCUGGAUAAACUUUAGACACAAUGGGAAAAUACAAACUACAGAGCUAUAGAGUUAAACUACAGAAAGUUUUGAUAAAUGUCCUCUUGUACUAAAAGAGCAAAUACAUUUAAAACAGAACAAAACAAAAAACUCUGGAGAGAGAUACAGACACAGAGUGAAAUAAAAAUGCCCACUGAUGAUAUCAUUAAAUCUACUGAAGUAACAGUUUCGAAGUAGGAAGUGAAACGUGUAUGUGGUGAACACAGACGAGAGGAGUGAUACACACAGUGAAACAUUCCAGUGCGGUUAUAGGAAAUAUAUUCGCUCUUGGAAUGCCGCACGACCAAUCAGAUUAGUGGAACUAACUGUUGUAUAAAGGUUCAUAAUCUAUCAGCAUACAUGCUUCUCUACUUCCUGUGUCUGUUAGCACAACAUUAUGGAAUAAAAACAAUUUCUGUAUAAUCAUCUUUGGCUACAUCUUUGCAUGAUUUAGGCAUGUCCAUACAUUCUCCAAAUCAUAUUUAUAUAGUGUAUGUUAUUCACUGUUAAAUAUUUUAAUUACAUAUUUACACUAUUUGCAGUUAUCUGCAAGCAUAAUAUGUUUUUAACAUGUUACCAUCAGGCCAGAAAUGUAUAGGUCUACUAUGAAAAGAUAAUAUUCG